GAUGAACGCUGGCGGCGUGCCUAAUACAUGCAAAUCGAGCGAAUGGAUUAAGAGCUUGCUCUUAUGAAGUUAGCGGCGGACGGGUGAGUAACACGUGGGUAACCUGCCCAUAAGACUGGGAUAACUCCGGGAAACCGGGGCUAAUACCGGAUAAUAUUUUGAACUGCAUGGUUCAAAAUUGAAAGGCGGCUUCGGCUGUCACUUAUGGAUGGACCCGCGUCGCAUUAGCUAGUUGGUGAGGUAACGGCUCACCAAGGCAACGAUGCGUAGCCGACCUGAGAGGGUGAUCGGCCACACUGGGACUGAGACACGGCCCAGACUCCUACGGGAGGCAGCGGUAGGGAAUCUUCCGCAAUGGACGAAAGUCUGACGGAGCAACGCCGCGUGAGUGAUGAAGGCUUUCGGGUCGUAAAACUCUGUUGUUAGGGAAGAACAAGAGCUAGUUGAAUAAGCUGGCACCUUGACGGUACCUAACCAGAAAGCCACGGCUAACUACGUGCCAGCCGCCGCGGUAA
rnacentral:rRNA from 1 species